rnacentral:lncRNA from 1 species
GUGAGGAAGCCUUGAAAUCAGCACUACUGCAGGAGGAACCUGGGAGAGGCUGGAUAACCCGGGAGAGGCUGGAGAGACCCUGAACUGACACCCCAGCCCUGUCCCAAGCCGCCGUUGAUCUUCCACGCCUCCAUGUCCCAGGUGUAGGUUAAACCCUUGAAGUCCCCUCCCCAGCCUCAGCACCAGCCUCAGCCCCUCUGACGACCUACCAUGCCCCUGAUCGUGGAUGCUGUGUGGGCCGUGUGGAGCAUCGGGGCCGGGGUCUAUGACUACUUCCACACCAGUGCCAUGGAGGAACGCAUCGGCAACCUGGAGAGCGUCCUGACCAUCCACCAGUGUGUCAUAGCAGCUCUGUCCGCAGGCCUCGUCCUCCUCAUGACCUACAUACUGUGGAGAAAACACUGAAGCCAUGGUUGUAUUCAGUCAGUGAGAUGGCACCGGGGGGGUAAGUUUCCCCUAGGUACAGAUCUUGGAUCAUUUCCCCCUCCCUCAAUCCUAUCUGUAACCAGUAGUGGGGGAAAAUACUAAACUGACCCAAGAUCAGCAUCUAGGGGCAACUUCACCCUACUCUAGCGGAGAUGGGAGAUGAGACGGUCCUAGAUACUCCAGACCUAAGGACUGCAUUACGGAUAGCAUCGGCUACUCACCAGACUAACAGCCAGUCCCAAAUCACUCCCUAACCCUCCCCCAUUGUCUUAUGUCAUAUCAUGCGAUGACUGUCAGUUUAGGGGCGGGGCAUCGUGUAGGAGUGACGCCACCUAGCAUAAGAUAAGGACCUUGGCACUAACCCUUAGGUGUUGGCAGAUCUGAAGGGUCUUGAUAGGUAUAAGCAGUGUAACGCUGGAUCAUCACAUUACUACUGGAGCUCAACAGACAGUCCUCAACCCCUCCCUAGUCCUUCCCCUCGGCCCUGACCCUCAAAUGAACAGUCUGGAUAGGUAAUGACAACUGGGUAGGUAUAGGAUUCUGUUUCAUCAAAGCACUACUAUUGGAAGACGAGCUCAAGAGACCACGAGGAGUUGCUUGUGGAAGCUUCCUGGUGGAAAGUAGCCCUGGUAUACAGUGCAAAGGCUCUAUCAGAGCUGGUUGGAGUAGAGUCAUCCCUCCAGGUCUCGUUCGUCAUUCUGCCGUUACUUGUGCAAAGGCUCUAUCAGAGCUUGUUAGUAGAGUCAUCCCUCCAGGUCUCGUUCGUCACUCUGCCGUUACUUGUGCAAAGGCUCUAUCAGAGCUUGUUAGUAGAGUCAUCCCUCCAGGUCUCGUUCGUCACUCUGCCGUUACUUAUGCAAAGGCUCUAUCAGAGCUGGUUGGAGUAGAGUCAUCCCUCCAGGUCUCGUUCAUUACUCUGCCGUUACUUGGAACGGGAUUGAGAGGAAGUCUGGGAGCUGAGGGAAGCUGGAGAGGGGUUCUUCAAUCUGAGAGCUCGAGUGCCGUGUUGACUGUAGCCUGGUCCCCAGAUCUGUUUGUGCUAUUGUGUCAACUCCUUGCCAUGCCAAACAUGGAAUUGACAUGAUAGCGCCAACAGAUCUGGGACCAGUCUAUCAUGACCGGCUGUGAUCAGAAAACACUGUAUUUUGCUACUGUGUGGAUACUGACGUCUCUAGCCUGGUCCCUGAUCUGUUUGUGCUGUCUUGCCAACAAUGACCAUAAGGACCGUAGGCGUGGGCAAGACCAUACAAACAGAUCUAGGACCAGGCUAACUCAGGCCAUCAUCCAUUGAAUGUGAUUGAUUCAUUUUGGGACUGUUAUAUUGCCGAAAGGGAUUUGUGAAACAUGGCUUCUGUCCAUGUCACUGUAGAAUAAGCCAACAUAAUAAUGACACUGUUGGGACUAAACAUUAUAAACCGCUUUUCUUAAAAAGGUGUUUAUCUUUCUCUUACAUGGAAGAUUUCAGACAGUUUAAGCCUAGUCCUUAGAAUAAAAAGCCUGGUCAAUGGAGAAUCUCCGUUAAGUUAAUAUAUUUAUAUUUUUUUUUAGCCCAGGACUAGACUUAAACUGUCUGAAAUAUUCCAUGUAAGAGAAAGAUAAACACCUUUUUUUUUUAAAAAGUUACUGUCGAGGUUAAACAUUGUUACACGUUUCCAUGACGAUGACACCUUUCAACGGUUUUCUCUGUAUUUGUACUUCAUAACAUCUCCUUUUUAAAAUCAUGCUUUUAUCAUUGUUGGGUCUGUUCCCUGUCUCCCUGGUUCACUAUUAUCAUGUCUGUCGGCCAUUGUUGUCGACUCAAGUGCUACUGUGCGUAUUUUGCUGAAUCACUACCUGGUUGUUGGUUUCUAUGUGAGCAAACGGUAUUCAUGUCAGGUUAAUAAAUAAUGUGAUUAACUCUGCACUAUUCUUUCCUCCUUAAUGUAUGUGAAGUAUUCGUUUACAAACUAUUGUAAUCAUGUACAAACUAUGAUUUGUAAUUCCUUUGAAAGUUGGGUGCCAUGCCAGUGGUCACAGCUGGUUGUCAUGACGUCACUGAGAUGCUGACCUGUAGGUUUUCACACCAACCCUGUUCCUGGAGAACUACUGUCCUGUAGGUUGUAACUCCAACCCUGUUCCUGGAGAACUAUGGUCCUGUAGGUUGUAACUCCAACCCUGUUCCUGGAGAACUACUGUCCUGUAGGUUUUCACACCAACCCUGUUCCUGGAGAACUACUGGCCUGUAGGUUGUAACUCCAACCCUGUUCCUGGAGAACUAUGGUCCUGUAGGUUGUAACUCCAACCCUGUUCCUGGAGAACUACUGGCCUGUAGGUUGUAACUCCAACCCUGUUCCUGGAGAACUACUGGCCUGUAGGUUGUAACUCCAACCCUGUUCCUGGAGAACUAUGGUCCUGUAGGUUGUAACUCCAACCCUGUUCCUGGAGAACUACUGGCCUGUAGGUUGUAACUCCAACCCUGUUCCUGGAGAACUACUGUCCUGUAGGUUGUAACUCCAACCCUGUUCCUGGAGAACUACUGGCCUGUAGGUUGUAACUCCAACCCUAAUCUAGCACACAUGAUUCUAAUAAUUAGCUGGUUGAUAAACUGAAUCAGGUUUGUUGUAACUGGGGUUGGAGUGUAAACCUACAGGAGGGUAGCUCUCCAGGAACAGGGUUGGAAUUAACCUACAGGAGGGUAGCUCUCCAUGAACAGGGUUGGAGGCCCCUGUCAUAGUCUCACGUGACUCCUGUUUCCAACAUAAACAACAUGAGCCUUGUCCCAAAUGGCAACCUAUUCCCUACAUAGUGCACUACGUUUAACCAGAUCCCUAUGGGCCCUGGUCAAAAGUAGUGCACUACAUAAGGAAUUAGGGUGCUAUUUGUAAUGGAGCCAUGGACUCAGGAAUGUCCACAGAUAAAUAUGGUCCAUCCAGGUCAAAGAUUCUUCUUCUCUUGAUUCGUAUCAGGGAUUUAGAAUGUCAGGAAGAGACUGCUUCUUCCUUCCAGAGCAACUGUCGACUUGCCCAGGAUUGCUGCUUCUAUGGUGCCUGCCCCCUAAAUAUGUCAUCAGACCAAGUUGCUGGAUAAAUAUAUCUGUCUUUCUCUCAUUAUACCAGACUAUUUGCUCAGUCGGGCCUAUACCCGUCCUCAUUAUGUUUGUGGGUCAGUCCAUUCUUAUUAGUACCAUACUCUUUACUUCCACAUGUCUGAUAUCUACUCUGUUUAUUAGGUACACCUAUUAAGAACCGGGUCGGACCACCCGUUGCCUCCAGAACAGCCCGAAUUAUUCAGGGCAUGGAUUCUACAAGGUGUGGCUUUCAAACGCUGCUCAAUUGGGAUCAAGGGAUCUAACGUGCGCCAGGAAAACAUUCCCCACACCAUUACACCACCACCAGUCUGUACCGUUGACACCAGGCAGGAUGUGGCGAUGGACUCACUCUGCUUACGCCCAAUCCUGACUCUGCCACCAGUCUGUACCGUUGACACCAGGCAGGAUGUGGCGAUGGACUCAUGCUGCUUACGCCCAAUCCUGACUCUGCCGUCAGUCUGUACCGUUGACACCAGGCAGGAUGUGGCGAUGGACUCAUGCUGCUUACGCCCAAUCCUGACUCUGCCGUCAGUCUGUACCGUUGGCACCAGGCAGGAUGUGGUCGUGGACUCAUGCUGCUGACGCCCAAUCCUGACUCUGCCACCAGUCUGUACCGUUGACACCAGACAGGAUGUGGUCAUGGACUCAUGCUGCUUACGCCCAAUCCUGACUCUGCCGUCAACAGGAACUGGGAUUCAAUUGGACCAGAGAAUGGUUUUCCACUCCUCAAUUGUCCAGUGUUGGUGAUGGCGUGCUCACUGGAGACACUUCCUUGUUUUGAGCUGAUAGGAGUGAAUUCGGUGUGGUCGUCUGCUGCGAUAGCCAAUCCGUGACGAGGACCCGUUCUGAACACCACUGUUACACUGUGCUGUUAUUUGUCUGUUUGUGGCCUGACUUUUAGCUUGCACGAUUCUUGCCAUUCUUCUUCGACCCAUCUCUCAUCAACAAGCUGUUUUCUCCCACAGGACCUGUUGCUGACUGGAUGCUUGUUGAUUUGUCACACCAUUCUCUGUAAACUCUAGACACUGUCGUGCGUGGAAACACCCAGGAACAGAGAGAAAGAGGGAAGUGGGAAUCACAGGAACAGAGAGAAAGAGUGCAGUGGGAAUCUACACCUGCAUUGCUUGCUGUUUGGAGUUUUAGGCUGGGUUUCUGUACAGCAUCUUGAGAUAUCAGCUGAUGUACGAAUGGCUAUAUAAAUAAAUUUGAUUUGAUUCACGGGAACAGAGAGAAAGAAUGCAGUGGGAAUCACAGGAACAGAGAGAAAGAGUGAAGUGGGAAUCACAGGAACAGAGAGAAAGAAUGCAGUGGGAAUCACAGGAACAGAGAGAAAGAAGGAAGUGGGAAUCCCAAGAAUCGUGACAUCCGAAGUGUGGUGUUCUGAACUCGGUUCAGGGUGUCAUCUCCGGGAUGUCGAUGGAAGCUGAGGUCAGAUACCUAGAAGAGAAGAGAAGAGCAGGUGGGGUUAGUUUCCUGUCACCUGACCAGAACAAUGAAUGGAGAAAGGGAAAAGAGUCUAUUGGUUCUUAUUUAUUUGUAUUUAUUUUUUACAAAGAACACCUCCCUACCACAGGAGGUUGGUGGCACCUUUAAUUGGGGAGGACGGGCCCUGGUCAAAAGUAGCAUGGACCACAGGAGGUUGGUGGCACCUUUAAUUGGGGAGGACGGGCCCUGGUCAAAAGUAGCAUGGACCACAGGAGGUUGGUGGCACCUUUAAUUGGGGAAGACGGGCCCUGGUCAAAAGUAGCAUGGACCACAGGAGGUUGGUGGCACCUUUAAUUGGGGAAGACGGGCCCUGGUCAAAAGUAGCAUGGACCACAGGAGGUUGGUGGCACCUUUUAAUUGGGGAGGACGGGCCCUGGUCAAAAGUAGCAUGGACCACAGGAGGUUGGUGGCACCUUUAAUUGGGGAAGACGGGCCCUGAUCAAAAGUAGCAUGGACCACAGGAGGUUGGUGGCACCUUUAAUUGGGGAAGACGGGCCCUGGUCAAAAGUAGCAUGGACCACAGGAGGUUGGUGGCACCUUUAAUUGGGGAAGACGGGCCCUGGUCAAAAGUAGCAUGGACCACAGGAGGUUGGUGGCACCUUUUAAUUGGGGAGGACGGGCCCUGGUCAAAAGUAGCAUGGACCACAGGAGGUUGGUGGCACCUUUAAUUGGGGAAGACGGGCCCUGGUCAAAAGUAGCAUGGACCACAGGAGGUUGGUGGCACCUUUUAAUUGGGGAGGACGGGCCCUGGUCAAAAGUAGCAUGGACCACAGGAGGUUGGUGGCACCUUUAAUUGGGGAAGACGGGCCCUGGUCAAAAGUAGCAUGGACCACAGGAGGUUGGUGGCACCUUUUAAUUGGGGAGGACGGGCCCUGGUCAAAAGUAGCAUGGACCACAGGAGGUUGGGCCCUGGUCAAAAGUAGCAUGGACCACAGGAGGUUGGUGGCAGCUUUAAUUGGUGAGGACGGGCGAAGGUCAGGGCUGUGAUUGUGGUGGAGAUCAUGAUCCAGAGUUGUUAAAGUGCCCUGUAGUAACAGGGUGAAGGAAGUUGAACCGGACGAAGGUCAGGACGGUCCAUCAGAUCUCCUAUGGGGAUGCAACCAAAAGAGUUGAGGAAGCAAGUGACAGUGUUGAAGGUAUGAUACGCAGAUGCAACACAGCCCGCGGGUCAAGCAAGACAACAGUGUGUUAAAAAGGUGGGUUUUAUAGCAUUUAUUACAACUGUUAUUAAU